rnacentral:misc_RNA from 1 species
CAGUGGAUCAAAGUUCCAAUGGCAAUACUGGAAAAAGAAAGAACUUUGGGGAACCAAGGAGAGGUAAAAAGUCUAGAAGGGAAAGAUUUUCUGGGCAGAGACCCCCUCAAUCUGGUCCGCAGACAACCAAAAGUUCUCACCCUCCCUGCCCCUAUGAGACAUGUGGCAAGACCCAUGGUGGGAUAUGUUACUGGGCUUCAGGAGCCUGUUUUAACUGUGGGGGUA